rfam:Bartonella taylorii 8TBB genomic scaffold supercont1.2, whole genome shotgun sequence.
GGCGGAGUAGCUCAGUAGGUUAGAGCAGAGGAAUCAUAAUCCUUGUGUCGGGGGUUCAAAUCCCUCCUCCGCUA